GACGUAGGGGCCAGCGUUGUUCGGAAUUACUGGGUGUAAAGGGUUCGUAGGCGGUGUGGCAAGUCGGGAGUGAAAUCUCUGGGCUCAACCCAGAGACUGCUUCCGAAACUGCUGUGCUUGAGUGUGAGAGAGGCUCGUGGAAUUGCAGGUGUAGCGGUGAAAUGCGUAGAUAUCUGCAGGAACACCCGUGGCGAAAGCGGCGAGCUGGAUCACUACUGACGCUGAGGAACGAAAGCUAGGGGAGCAAACAGG
rnacentral:rRNA from 1 species